GUGAAGUGUCUCUAAGAGGGGCAGAAAGUAACAGUUGCGGAUUAGCGUGAUGUUCAAGCAGCUCACACCUGUCCCCCUCCUCUCAGCUCCAGUCGGUCAUAGCAGGUGGCUGCUGGUACUGAGCCUGGUUCUGGUUCUGCUGGAGGUUUCUUCCUGGUUGAGGGGAGUUCUUCCUCUCCACUGUCGCUACAUGCAUGCUCUGUAUGAGGGACCGCUGUAAAGUCAGUGACUCAACAGAAGUGAUUUUCUGUCGCCCCCUGCUGGUCAGAUGGAGUGAAUGCUAAGACGAAGACUUCUUUCCUUGGGUCCUCCACUCAGCCGCUUCUUUCUUCUCAGAAGAAUUUCAUCAGGUGUCCCACAGCAGCUUGAUAGAAUCAGACUCAAGUACUGUCAGUAAUGAGCCGACCAGGUCGCCAGUGUAUCGCUGCGACUCUCUCAACUGAGGUGCCAUUGGUGGGGGAGAUUUGAGAUCAAACAGCCUGAAAACGGCCUCAACUGUUGAGUUUGAGUCUCUACGUCACACUGAGUCGAUGGACACUGGAAGAGAGGAGACACGGCGAGCUUUUCCUGCUGGGCAGAUCUGAGAAAAGAAAAUGAGGAUUUAACAAUUUCCUGAUGAAAAGCUGCUUUCUGACCCAGAUGAACUCCGUCCAUCCAUCCAUCUAACCUGGUUCUCUCCAUCCAUCCAUCCUGGUUCCCUUCCAUUCUUUGGAAUUAUGUGACCAUUUUGAUUUCUUUACAGGGAUGUUCUCACAAUCUGUUAAAAGAAAUAUGAAUAUAACCAGAACAUCCUGGAAGUGAAUGUGGAGAUUUGACAUUAAGAUUUCUUUGUGAUGACAGAA